GAAAGAUGUCACUGGUCCACUCUCAAGGAUAUUUGCAGUUUAAUAGACUUCUCUUGGUUGCAGAAGGAGUAAUAGCGAUAGUGACAGUGGUAGUAAUAGUAGUGGUAAUAUUAUAGGUCAUAUUUAUUUUGAAUUUCCAUGUCAGAAAUAGUUCUCUCAAUCCUGCCAACUACAGCCCUAUGAAAUACUUGCUAUUAUUAUUCCUAUUUUACAGAUGAGGAACCUGUUGAACAGAAAAGUCUCUGACCAUAAUCAAGGUCACACAGUCAGAAGGCAUCCCAGCAGACACUCCACACUAGCCAAUGUGGAUUCAGAGACUGCACCCUUGAUUACUGUGUUGUUUCAUGAUACUAGUGGCAUCAAUUGCGGGCAAGGCUGAAUCCAGGUUUUGGGGGCCUGAAGCUUAAUCGAUGUGGAGGACCUCUUUGAGGAAAAGCAUGCAAAAUUACAAAUACAAAAUUAGGUAUGAAAGUGGAAUUUCAUGUAGAAUGAGAGAACAAAUUAAAAUAAAUCACGUCCCUUUUUCUUG
ensembl:lincRNA